rnacentral:lncRNA from 7 species
ACACUGCUCAGCUCCGUGGGCAGAGGCGCAAUGGGACGGAGCCCCUGAGCCACCGCUCCCCUCGCUGGCAGCAGUGCUGUCGUGCAGUGUCAGCUGGUGCCCGUGGGGACGUGCGGUCUGCGCACUCCUUGAUCAGUUCUGUGCUUGCAGUCCCACCCCAUGGUCUGUGUCGGGUGCUUUGGCUGAUGCUGAGGUCAGAAGUGGGAACUUUUUUCAUGACCUCUGAUGAGAGCUGAAGACGUGAGCAAAGCUCAGAAAAAUAAUGGAAAUAAGAAGCAUCAGCUCUAAUAAGAAAGCACUGCGAGUCCUGAUGGAUUGAGAACAAAACCUUCCACGCAGGAAGAGAAAACAGCGCAGGAAAAUGCCCUUUCCCCCCAGCUGACAGAAGCACGUACACAGCAGGAAAACUGCAGCUUGCCCACGGCAGCUCUGUGUCCCUCAGCUCUGCUCCACUCUACAAAGUGAUGUCAUCAUGUGCUGCUUUAGUCCUGAGGUGCCUCCAAUGGCCGCUGUGCCAUCUCAGCUGCUCUUCAGAGCUUCUGCAAAUGAACUCCAUCUCUAUCUCCACAGCAACAACUCACAAACAGAGGCCUAUGACUUCAGCUGAGGAGCAUGCAGCAGGCAUUGAUGAGCUGCCAAGCAACGAAGAUUUGGUUUCAGGGUGGAUGCAGAAGCCAGAUAGUGACAUUUUUCUUGGGUUUUUGUCUGCCCUCCUUCCGGUGAAUUCCCACUGAAGAUAAUUUGGGCUCCGAGAGAAGAAACCCCUCCCCGGGAACUUGUUAUUUCAGUAACAGCUGAGUAAGGCCCAUGGAGGUCUUCAGGCUUCAGACAACCCUUUGGAAGCAAUAAUAACAGCAAGGAAAGAAACAAGAUGGAAAGCAUGGCCCGUGGCCAUCGAUCUACCCAGGCAGUCUGCUGCUGGUGGCACUUCAGCUGGAUGCAAAACCAGCACGAAAAAAAACCACCAAACCACGAUCCAAGUACAAGGUGCCAACAAGUUCAUCUUUAAUUAGCAGUUAAUUAGUUGUUUUGCUCAUUCGUCAGAGCACGAAUGUUUCCCAGCUGUGUAUCUAAACAGUAUUCCUCAGCCUUUCAGGCCUCCCUGUGAUCCCUGCAUCACUGAACAGCCCUGGAGUUCCCUCCAUUCCCCCCGUGGGUGCAGUCCCGCAGCCAUGGGAGCUCUCAGUGGGGGCGAUGCUCUGCGGUGCCUCAGCUCCAGCCCUGCACUGUGCUCCCUGCCCAGCACUGCAGGGCUUUCCAGUCCUCCUACAUGAGAGAGCAAUGCUUUCUCUGAAGCGUCCUUAGGCAGCGUACCUGCCUGGUGAAGGAUGACUAUUCCUAAAUGGCUUUGCAGUCUUUUGAAAAACCAGUCAUGAAAUAAUUGAGUCAAGCUUUCGUGAAAUAGAUCUUAAUUUUAUUCUAUGGAUGUCAUAGAUCUGAAAUUCUCAAAUGCUGAUGAACUUCCGUACGAACGCUUUAUGAUACUGGAAGUUCCCAGUGCUUGCAGUGCAGUCCUGCAGCGGUGUGGUGUUGGCAUAAGAACAAAUGGGAGGAGAGCGUUAAGAGAAUGUAAAAUAAAGAUAACUCUGAAGUAAAC